GACCGCGUAGCUCAGUUGGCAGAGCAUUGGGCUGGUAUUCCAAAGGUCGUAGGUUCGAUUCCCACCGUGGCUA